CUUUUUAUUAUGUUAGACAGGUGGACUUCGCUCUUUCGAGUGCUGAGCUUUGGCUGCUUGAAGUCUUCUAUCACAAAAUAUACAAGUCCUGUGUGCGGAUGCGGAUGCUGUUCAAGGGUAUCAAUUUUUUAUUAUUACAUGUUGAUCCUAUCCUUGCCUCUGUACGUCUUUCCCCGCACGGAGAAGAUUAAGAACCUGAAUGAUCAAUACUGAACGUUACGAGCAGAGGAGAUUCCAGAAGAAGAGAAAAAUCUUGGUCCUCAUGAUCGUCUGAUUCCCGUGUACCAUUUUACCAAGGGGACAGCUCAAAACCAAGUGGAAAUUCAGAAUUUUGGGAAUCCCUUCCUUUUGGUCAUGCAUGAAGGUGACACUGUGGCUGAUAUUAAAUUAAGAAUACAAUAGAAAUUUCAAGUUCCACAGGAGGAGUUUGCCGAGGUAUAUUUCUUCUACCAUGUAUCCCAGGCUUCUGAACAAUUUUUUCCUGAUGUUGGGUGUUUUACUGACUAAAGAAUUGAAUGUUAUAUUUGAUGUUUCUAAACCUUGCAUGUUUUAUCAUUAUUUUCUCUGUGGCCAGUGGAAGUUUGCAUUUCUUUCACUGGGGCGGCCUCAGUACCUUCAGGAAUCUGACAUCCUCGAUUUCAGGGGCAUCCAUGAACCUCCAGUAGUUUUUCUUUUUUGAUAAAUCAAUCAAGUUCGUAGAAUUGCUUGAAUUGAAUCGUACCAUUAAUUUUAAUUUGUCAGCUUGACCUUAUAUUUACAUUUUUAUUGUAAAAAAUUCUUAUGAUAGAGAAGGGAAUUAUACGGUGCUUGGGAGCAAUAUCUUGGCUUAGAGCAUGCUGAUAACGCAUCUGACAGACCAUAAACUGUUAAUCAGAAUCGCCACACGUUUGAGAAGCCAGUAAAUAUUUGUAGGUAGAAAACCAAUAUUGAUGAGUUCUUUUGCUACGAAGGAUGAAUUUGGCCUUCUAAAUAAAGGAAUGGGCUUGUAAAGACCGCAACCACAGCAGGAGGAUACCCUGUAUAGGCAACAAGUGAGAUGAAUCAGCAUUGGAGAUCGUGUCUGCUAUUCUAACUUUUGUGGUUAUGUAAUUCUCUGUCCAAGGAGUGACAUUGCCCCAAACACCUUGUAUCUGCCGACCACAGCCUCUUGAGCCUUUUACUUGCUACUUCCGUUUUUACAUGGAGGUUCUCCCGAUCACGUUAUAUUGUGUGCACGCUUUGGCAAGGGGGGGUAAAACAAAAGAGAAAAGAGGAAAGGUUAAAGGAAGAAAAGGGGACCGUUCUUUGGAAAGGAACAUCACAGAAAACUCCAGGCACUUGGUUGCACCAUAAAGCUUUAUAGUUGGGAAUGUCACAACCAAUCAAGUUUUGAUUGUAUGACACAUAGUAGGGGACCAACUGGUUUUUUAUUGAACAAUGGGAAAUCUGGCUGCAAAUUACUAAUGUUUUUUUUUUUAAUUGAAAAACCUGAUUCCAAUACUGCUUGGUUACUAAAUAUUAUUCAUGUUGCU